CGGCGAGUGAASCGGCAACAGCUCAAAUUUGAAAGCUGGCCUUCGGGUCCGCAUUGUAAUUUGUAGAGGAUGCUUUGGGUGAAACGCCAGUCUAAGUUCCUUGGAACAGGACGUCAUAGAGGGUGAGAAUCCCGUAUGUGACUGGAAAUGUUAACCUAUGUAAAGCUCCUUCGACGAGUCGAGUUGUUUGGGAAUGCAGCUCUAAAUGGGAGGUAAAUUUCUUCUAAAGCUAAAUAUUGGCGAGAGACCGAUAGCGCACAAGUAGAGUGAUCGAAAGAUGAAAAGCACUUUGGAAAGAGAGUUAAAAAGCACGUGAAAUUGUUGAAAGGGAAGCGCUUGCAAUCAGACUUGUUUAAACUGUUCGGCCGGUCUUCUGACCGGUUUACUCAGUUUGGACAGGCCAGCAUCAGUUUCGGCGGCCGGAUAAAGGCUCUGGGAAUGUGGCCUUCACUUCGGUGAAGGUGUUAUAGCCCAGGGUGUAAUACGGCCAGCCGGGACUGAGGUCCGCGCUUCNGCUAGGAUGCUGGCGUAAUGGUUGUAAGCGACCCGU
rnacentral:rRNA from 1 species